GGGCGGUUAGUGUUAAUGGUAGCACGAGUGCUUUGCACGCAUUAAGCAGGGGUUCGAAUCCCCUACUGUCCACCA
rnacentral:tRNA from 1 species